rnacentral:rRNA from 1 species
UACGUAGGGUGCAAGCGUUAAUCGGAAUUACUGGGCGUGAAGCGUGCGCAGGCGGUUUUGUAAGUCUGACGUGAAAUCCCCGGGCUCAACCUGGGAAUUGCGUUGGAGACUGCAAGGCUAGAAUCUGGCAGAGGGGGGUAGAAUUCCACGUGUAGCAGUGAAAUGCGUAGAGAUGUGGAGGAACACCGAUGGCGAAGGCAGCCCCCUGGGUCAAGAUUGACGCUCAUGCACGAAAGCGUGGGGAGCAAACAGG